CAAUGCAGAGACCUAUCCAUUAUUGCAAAUCAAAUGGGGGGUGCAGCACACAGAAACACCCUUGGGCCGUAGAGAAGUCUUGGACAAAAAAGCCCAGUUUCAGCAAACCCUCCCUAAAAUGAUUUUCACGUUCCUUCAAACCAGAUAUGCUCAUGUCGAGACGCUGAAUUCUUCGCGGCACCAGAAAUAAGGAGUUCGUUCGGCGGCGUUUGCGCAAUCGCGAGGAAGCUCAUAUCGACAACCGGUACACUCUUCGGUUCGUUGUUAGAUUGAAACGAUGAUGGAGGUCGCCGUGUGCGUGAUUUGUGUGAAGAUGCAGACUUUGAUUUCCGUUGUUGUUUCCAUCGGAUUAGCAUUGAAAACGUGUGUGUAACAAUCAGGGGUUGAAGAUCGAAAUAUGUAUCGGGUUCGUCGCAUCGGUGAGAUGGAGAUGGAAUUCGAAUCCGGAAGGAACAGGUCAUUGUUCGAGCUCACGUUGAGGUUAGGCAUCCAAAUCAAUUCACGGGUAUGGAGCUAUACUUAUGGUUCAUACUCGAAGAAAACGGCCAUGGGAAAUGGCUUGUGAGCUGCUAUGGAAUGUCGUUUUGAGCUGCUUGGAUAUGUUGCAAUUGAGUUUAAUCAUAGGCCAUGUGCAAUGUGAACUUGGAUAGGUUGUAACCUUUUGAUAGAACCAUGGUUUAUGAUUAUGUAUGUGGAUGUUGAAUUUUGAAUUAUGUAGGAUUGUUAUGUAAGGUUGAUUUGAAUGAAUAUAAUGGUAGAAUGAUUUUGUGGAAAGGGUAUUGGAUGAA